rnacentral:lncRNA from 1 species
GAGCACUUUCCCCCAUGCUGUUCUUAUGAUAGUGAGUGAGUUCUCAAGAGAUCUGAUGGUUUUAUAAGCAUCUGGCAUUUCUCCCACUGGCAUUCAUUCUCUCUCCUGCUGCCCUGUGAAGAGGAGCCUUCAGCCAUGAUUUUAAGUUUCCUGAUGCCUCCCCAGCUAUGCAGAACUGGUGUCACUCUGUCACCCAGGCUGGAGUGCAGUGGCAUGAUCACAGCUCACUGCAGCCUUGACCUUCCAAGCCCAAUCCAUCCUUCCACCUCAGCCUCCUGAGUAGCUGAUACUACAGAUUUUUGCAUUUCUGACUACUGAUGGCUCCACCUGAACUCAUGAACUGGUCCUGUGGCUCCCACCCAGGAACCAACUCAGUGCAAGAGGAUGGCUUCGACUCUAUGAUUUCAUCUAUCACCCAACCAAUCAGAACUCCCCACUCCUUGGCCUCCUACCCACCAAACUAUCCUUGAAAAGCCCUAGUCUCUGAACUUUUGAGGGGACCAAUUUGAGUAAUAAUAAAGCUCCAGGCUCCCAUUCAGCUGGCUUGGCAUGAAUUAAUCUCUUUCUCUAUUGCAAUCCCCCUGUCUUGAUGAAUUGGCUGUAUCUGG